rnacentral:misc_RNA from 1 species
UCUCCGUUGGUGAACCAGCGGAGGGAUCAUUACUGAGUUUACCGCUCUAUAACCCUUUGUGAACAUACCUUACUGUUGCUUCGGCGGGCAGGACGGCGGCCUCGGCCCCGGCCUCCCGGCCUCCGCCCCCUCUGCGGGGCGGCGGGCGCCCGCCGGAGGAUAACCAAACUCUGUUUUAACGUCGUCUCUUCUGAGUGGCACAAGCAAAUAAAUAAAAACUUUUAACAACGGAUCUCUUGGUUCUG